rnacentral:lncRNA from 1 species
CGGGAGGGGGGCAGACUCAUUCGCUCUAUGGGAUGACCGGGUGCAUGAACCACCUCUUCCUCAGCUGGAACAGUUGGGCCAGAGGAGAUGAUUGAAGCUUAGUGCCUAGUGCUCAAUACCUAUUUCCCCAAAACAAGAUUGGGUGGGCAAUCCGCUUCAAAUUCUGUUGGGGGGGGAGUGGCCGACAGCACAAGCGGGGAUGAACCGGAGAUGUAUUAAUACGUUUUGAUGAAGAGAGGCGCUAGGGAAUUAGGAUAUUAGGCAAACGCAACCUUUGAUUGGUUUGAUUCGCCCACCCAGCAGAGGGACUCAGCACUGGAGACUACAAGCCGUCAGAGUUCUUUAGGGUUUGCCCCCCCCUUAGACGCCCGGGACGGAUCGACGAAGGGAAGGAUUGCAUAAGAACUCUCGGCCCAAUAAGUCCAUAAGAAAGCUUUGAGUGAUCGGGCGGGCUCGGGAAGUCGAGUCGACCUUGAAACGGGUCCAGCAGCACCCCCUUACAGACUCUAUUUAUUGGUAAACCGGUCGGGAAGAGCAAGUUGAUGCCGGAUCGAGAGGAGGGGCAACCGCUCGCAUUUGACCGUAUGAAUAGAAUCUAUCGACAAGUCGAGCCUACGUAUACGUUAGAGCAAGACGAGAUAAUCCCAGUCGAGCGCUUAAGCGGAGCUUGUGGUCACUCGUUCCUCGCUUGUUCCAAUCCUAGUAAAGAGCUUCAGAUCCGAUUCUAAACUAAAUACGAUAUUCCAUGUAGGCCCUCACUAGCUCUUCGCUUGUAAGUACAAGGAGCAUGCCCGAGGGGGCUACUACGCUCACCGCGCACUUGCAUCACCACCUGAGCUUCGCUACCGUUUCUCGCCCAGCUCCUACGCCUACCACGAACUUGAAUCAUCACGUGGCUGCUAAAGCAAGCUAAGCUUCACACAGCCCUGAGGAAGCCAAAACACCCUCUCCUCUCACGGCCGAAGGCUCCGCUUAACGUUGGAGAGCUUUUAGAUCCCGCCCUAAAACGCCCAUUCUCCCAGAGUUCCGAAGUGAUCCUCAUUCUCACCGCAGUAAGAACGGGCAAGAAUCGCUUCGGUUGGACUUUAUAAUAGGUACGUAUCUGGCAGUGGUUCUUNN